UGAAAUGCGAUAACUAGUGUGAAUUGCAUUAUCUCGUGAAUCAUCGAGUCUUUGAACGCAUCUUGCACCUCCCAGGUCUCCUGGAAGGUAUACUUGUUUGAGUAUCAUAAACACUACUCCUCCAGCUCUGCUGCAGGGAAUUGAGACGCCAAGUGCUGCUGCAAUCAAGCAAGCGCGCCUGUGUCUUUUAAUUGACAUGCUGCGUGAGUCUGCACUACCUUUGCUGGUGUGUGCAGGGAACUACACACUAAAUGUGAGAUAAACAUCGCACAGAGUCGUGUAUAGUAGAUCUAUUGCGCAGCUACACUCAGCCAGCUGGCAACAGCAGCACAUUCACGAAAUGUGAUCUCAAAUCAAGUAAGACUACCCGCUGAACUUAA
rnacentral:misc_RNA from 1 species